rnacentral:rRNA from 1 species
GUUAAUUCGGAAUUACUGGGCGUAAAGCGUGCGCAGGCGUUCGCUAAGACCGAUGUGAAAUCCCCGGGCUUAACCUGGGAACUGCAUUGGUGACUGGCGGGCUAGAGUAUGGCAGAGGGGGGUAGAAUUCCACGUGUAGCAGUGAAAUGCGUAGAGAUGUGGAGGAAUACCGAUGGCGAAGGCAGCCCCCUGGGCCAAUAGACGCUCAUGCACGAAAGCGUGGGGAGCAAACAGGAUUAGAUACCCUGGUAGUCCACGCCCUAAACGAUGUCAACUAGUUGUUGGGCCUUCAUUGGCUUAGUAACGUAGCUAACGCGUGAAGUUGACCGCCUGGGGAGUACGGUCGCAAGAUUAAAACUCAAAGGAAUUGACGGGGACCCGCACAAGCGGUGGAUGAUGUGGAUUAAUUCGAUGCAACGCGAAAAACCUUACCUACCCUUGACAAACGGAACCUUU